rnacentral:rRNA from 1 species
CUGCAGCGUGGAUUAGGCAUGCAAGUCGAACGAGAAUCCACGGCUUCAAGUUUUCGGACAAGAAGCUGUGGAGGAGAGUGGCGGAAGGGUGAGUAACGCGUGGGCAAUCUGCCCUUGGGUUGGGGACAACCUCGGGAAACCGGGGCUAAUACCGAAUAUGGCACUUCAUCGCAUGAUGGGGAUGUCAAAGGUGGGGAUCUUAACAGACCUGCCGCCCGGGGAGGAGCCCGCGUACGAUCAGCUUGUUGGUGGGGUAACGGCCCACCAAGGCUACGACCGUUAGCUGGUCUGAGAGGAUGGUCAGCCACACUGGGACUGAGACACUGCCCAGACUCCUACGGGAGGCUGCAGUCGAGGAUCAUUCGCAAUGCGCGAAAGCGUGACGAUGCGACGCUGGGUGUAGGAUGACGGCCUUCGGGUUGUAAACUACUGUCAUGAGGGAAGAACCAGCGGUGUAUGAAUAGUGCAUCGCUCUGACGGUACCUCAAGAGGAAGCCACGGCUAACUCUGUGCCAGCAGCCGCGGUAAUACAGAGGUGGCGAGCGUUGUUCGGAUUUACUGGGCGUAAAGCGUGCGUAGGCGGUUUCGUGUGUCGGAUGUGAAAGCCCACGGCUUACCCGUGGAACUGCAUCCGAAACUGCGGGGCUAGAGUGCAGGAGGGGAGAGCGGAACUCUUAGUGUAGCGGUGAAAUGCGUUGAUAUUAAGAAGAACACCGGCGGCGAAGGCGGCUCUCUGGAAUGUUACUGACGCUGAGGCACGAAAGUUGGGGGAGCAAACAGGAUUAGAUACCCUGGUAGUCCCAACCGUAAACGGUGUGAACUUGGUGUAGGGGGUAUUGACCCCCCCUGUGCCGGAGCUAACGCGUUAAGUUCACCGCCUGGGGAGUACGGUCGCAAGAUUAAAACUCAAAGAAAUUGACGGGGGCCCGCACAAGCGGAGGAGCAUGUGGCUUAAUUCGAUGCAACGCGAAGAACCUUACCUGGACUUGACAUGGUACUGCACGCUCCCUGAAAGGGGAGAAGCCUUCGAGGGUGUAUCACAGGUGCUGCAUGGCUGUCGUCAGUUCGUGCCGUGAGGUGUUGGGUUAAGUCCCGCAACGAACGCAACCCUUGUGGCUAGUUGCCAUCGUCGGUGAUGAGCCGACAGGAACUCUAGUCAGACUGCCCGUACAAGCGGGAGGAAGGUGGGUAUGACGUCAAGUCAGUAUGGCCCUUUACGUCCAGGGCUGCACACGUGCUACAAUGGCCGGUACAGUAGGAUGCAAUACCGCGAGGCGGAGCUAAUCCCUAAAGCCGGCCUCAGUUCGGAUUGGAGUCUGCAACUCGACUCCAUGAAGUCGGAUUCGCUAGUAACGGCGUAUCAGCUACGACGCCGUGAAUACGUUCCCGGGCCUUGUACACACCGCCCGUCACAUCAUGAAAGCCGUCUGCACCUGAAGUCGCUGAGCUAACCCGCAAGGGGGGCAAGUGCCGAAGGUGUGGGUGGUGAUUGGGAUGAAGUCGUAACAAGGUA